UUUCCCCUGCCUGGAAUGCGUGAUGGGCUGGACAACCUCGUGCCCGAUAGCUGUCCAUCGGGGUUCUGGCCGUCGCUCGCGGUGUGCAAGCUCCCGGCGAAAGCCGAUCGGAGAAGCCUGAAGCGAGCCGCCAGGGUCCCACCUGCCUAGCGCAGGGCACCACCGACGCCACCCACACGGCCGAGGCGGGGGGUCU
rnacentral:other from 1 species